AUUGGAUCCAGCAGCAAUAAUAUCACCUCCAUCUAAUCAUGAUGACAAGGAACCCAUUUAUGAAGUGGCGGAUUCUCCAGUGGAAAAUCCAAAGGAUCUGCUCCCGACAUCUCGCCCUCUUCCGCCUCUUACAGGAACUUGCCCCAAGCUGGACUCAAACUAUAUGGAUUUACUCUAUAGGUCUGACAACAUUUACUCUGAAAUCAAGAGAUAAUAAUACUAUUGCUGAGAGAUUCCUGAUUCUCGUGUCAUCUCGGAUAAUGGCCCAUCCAAAAAUGUUGGGAUAAAAACCAUAUACUGCCAUCCAAAUAUUUCUAUCUUUAUGGGAUCAAAGACUCUUUCUCUGCUGGACUGCGAAUAUAGAAAAUGACUUUAACCUAGCGUUAAAUCCAGAUUUUAUUGAACCCAAGACUGUCCCUUGAUGGAAAGGAGUCAAAACGAAUUAUCAGUUGGCCAUCAUCUUUCACGCAAAAUGUGGGCUAGGAUUUAGAAGAUCUACAGGGAUGGAAGAAGAAAUGGACAGCCGAGGCUGUCGCUCAAUACAGACCUCAUUGGGGGUUGGACUAGAAGACCUCCAAGGUCCCUUCCUGCUCUGUUAUUCUGUGAUCGUGCAAUUCUUCUAAAAAUUCUGAGGACCCCAAAUAAUUCACAUACAGAGAAAAAGCUCUAUUCUCUCCAGAUGUGUCUGUGUCUGUGUGUUUGUGCAAAUCUUGCAUAGAUGUUCAGCUGACCUCAGCUUUGAGACUACAUGUUCAGCCUAGAAGAUGGGCUUCUUGGAGAUAACCAGAGAGUGAUGAGGACCUCUGAGGACCUUUGAGGUUUUCACCAAUGGUGCUUUUCUAUCUCCAAGAGGAAGCAUCUUUAAUUCCAUCAUAUGUCUGCAGCAGAGAUAUCUUUAUCUCCAAGAGGAAGCAUCUUUAAUACCAUCAUAGGUCUGUAGUAGUAUAUUGGUUCAACAACUUUUAAAGCAGAGAUUGGAUGACCAUUUGUCUGAAACGAUAUAUGAUUUCCUGCCUGAGCAGGGGGUUGGACUAGAAGACCUCCAAGUUCCCUUCCGACUCUGUUAUUCUGAUCACCGUUCCUUCCUUAAGAUCAAACUGCCGUAUUCUGACUUCUACAUCUUGAUCACGACUGAACCUUUCCCCACAUUCAGUUUGCAUGCUCCAGAGCGUUUACUUCUGAAUUUUUCUUUUAGUGGAUUGGCUCAUGAUCAGUGCUCGCAAUAUGAAAACUUCCCCAAAGAAACCCGUCCUCCUAUCCCUGGGCUUGUUCCCAAAACUGGAACGCAUCCAGCGUGGGGCGCAUCAUUAAAAUGCAGGCUGCGCCUUGCCAGUUCUCAGGACUUUGGAAUGCAUGCCUGCCUUUAAGAACAGGUUGUCAACAGGCAGAAAUUAUGAAGGUGCAGCUGGGCCGUUCUUGUUUUUUUUUCUCAGCCUGGAAAGAGGGAGGGAACUGUUUUCUCUGCAUCGGGAAAUUAGGUCGUUUGUUCUUAAAGGCCCAGCUGAGCACCAGCACAAAAAGAGAAACCUUGGCAGUAGAAUAACAGAAUAACACAGUUGGAAGGGACCUUGGAGGUCUUCUAGUCCAACCCCUUCUUGGCAGCCAAGAAAAUGAACUUGGAAUUUUUGCAAGAUCGGAUCUGGUAGCCUGAAUUUUCAUGUAUAUAAAAUAUCAAAAGAAGCAACAGUGUUUGAAUAUUUCCCGUAUAUGUUUACAAGAAGCUUAAAUAAAAUACUGAUGAAAGAUUGUAGAGGCAGAAUUGUGUAAGAGGAAAAGGCUGGGUCUUGUCAUUAUAAAUAAAUGAGCACAUCUUGUAGCAAAAA